rnacentral:tRNA from 1 species
UGACGUGUAGCUCAAUGGCAGAGCAGGGCACUGUUAAUGCUCGGGUUGCUGGUUCGAGUCCAGCCAUGUCAG